GCUUUGGGAAAAAAGGUGGGGGGCGUUGACUCUUGAGCGCGUUCCACCUGAGUUUCGUGAGAGGAACAGGUACAGCGAGUUGACGCGCUUCCGGAUGCAGGUGCGAGAGUUGCCGUCAUGAACGCGCGAAUCAAAAGCGUCUGCCUCGCGCUAUUCGCUUGGACGCUGAGGUCUUGAUCGUUUGGGAUUAAAAACUAUUAACAACAACAGUUCCUCCGCAGACAUCACAGCAGUUUCUCAGGUGAGCUCAGUUUCUCAGGUGAGCUCAGUUUCUCUUUCAGUCGGAUGGUUGUUGGUCUCAGUGUGUUUUGAAAACUGCUCGUCAAACCGGCUUCGCCACCGGCAUUCCGUGACUGACUGACUGACUGACUCAUCACCUCACUCCAACCCAGCCGCUGCUCGCUUCAUACAUUAUCUCCAAACUCGGAAGUCAAAUCAUUUGUGAAGAACUGAUCAUCUUAACGAGAGUCCCACAUAAAGCAGGUGACAGUAUGGUACUUUAAUACAGGGCAGUGUAUUGAAUACCAUGGUAUUGACGUGCGUGAGGGAUGUAAUAUGACUGUGAGGUCUUUCAGAGUCAAAAAUAGUUCAGAUUGAGGAUAACACACCAGUUUAAUUAAUUUACUGAAAGCCAUACCGCUUUGGAACGAUUUGAGGGUUAAAGUUCCCUUCCAAAAUGUAAAAGGAUGACCACUGUGUAGUCACAGUUAACCAGGUACUUUGCUCUCUCUCACACACGGAUACUCACAUCUUGCGUCUUCUUGAAUGGACACACCCUUGGACACACCUUGUGGAGCAUC